rnacentral:sRNA from 1 species
GCCUAGCCCUGAUAGAAGUGAAAAUCCUUUUGUGCCGGGGUUCGGCACAAAAGAUUGAAACGGAUAGCAGGAAAUAGC